CAGUCGCCGCUGGAACACGGAGGGUGCAAGCGUUAAUCGGAAUUACUGGGCGUAAAGCGCACGCAGGCGGUCUGUCAAGUCGGAUGUGAAAUCCCUGAGCUUAACUUAGGAAUUGCAUUCGAUACUGGGAAGCUAGAGUAUGGGAGAGGAUGGUAGAAUUCCAGGUGUAGCGGUGAAAUGCGUAGAGAUCUGGAGGAAUACCGAUGGCGAAGGCAGCCAUCUGGCCUAAUACUGACGCUGAGGUACGAAAGCAUGGGGAGCAAACAGGAUUAGAUACCCGCGUAGUCCCUGUCUCUUAUAC
rnacentral:rRNA from 1 species